UUUCCGUAGGUGAACCUGCGGAAGGAUCAUUCAUAAUAAAGUGUUUUAUGGCACUUUUUAAAAAUCCAUAUCCACCUUGUGUGCAAUGUUAGAUCUCGUCAAUCUUGGCGAGAUUUUUAUACAUCAACUCAUUUUUUAGCUAAUCUGUCUGAAAAAUAUUAUGAAUACUUAAUUCAAAAUACAACUUUCAACAACGGAUCUCUUGGCUCUC
rnacentral:misc_RNA from 1 species